rnacentral:rRNA from 1 species
UGAUGCAGCCAUGCCGCGUGUAUGAAGAAGGCCUUAGGGUUGUAAAGUACUUUCAGCGGGGAGGAAGGUGAUAAGGUUAAUACCCUUGUCAAUUGACGUUACCCGCAGAAGAAGCACCGGCUAACUCCGUGCCAGCAGCCGCGGUAAUACGGAGGGUGCAAGCGUUAAUCGGAAUUACUGGGCGUAAAGCGCACGCAGGCGGU